CAUGCUAGUUGUGCGGGUUUAGACCCGCAGCGGAAGCUCAGUAACACGUGGCCAAACUACCCUGUGGAUGGGAACAAUCUCGGGAAACUGAGGCUAAUUCCCAAUAACGCUCCAGCCCUGGAACGGGCGGAGCUGGAAACGCUACGGCGCCACAGGAUGUGGCUGCGGUCGAUUAGGUAGACGGUGGGGUAACGGCCCACCGUGCCAAUAAUCGGUACGGGUUGUGAGAGCAAGAGCCCGGAGACGGAAUCUGAGACAAGAUUCCGGGCCCUACGGGGCGCAGCAGGCGCGAAACCUUUACACUGUACGCAAGUGCGAUAAGGGGACUCCGAGUGUGAAGGCAUAGAGCCUUCACUUUUGUACACCGUAAGGUGGUGUACGAAUAAGGGCUGGGCAAGACCGGUGCCAGCCGCCGCGGUAAUACCGGCAGCCCGAGUGAUGGCCGAUAUUAUUGGGCCUAAAGCGUCCGUAGCUGGCCGGACAAGUCCGUUGGGAAAUCUGUUCGCUUAACGAGCAGGCGUCCAGCGGAAACUGUUCGGCUUGGGACCGGAAGACCUGAGGGGUACGUCCGGGGUAGGAGUGAAAUCCUGUAAUCCUGGACGGACCACCGGUGGCGAAAGCGCCUCAGGAGGACGGAUCCGACAGUGAGGGACGAAAGCUAGGGUCUCGAACCGGAUUAGAUACCCGGGUAGUCCUAGCUGUAAACGAUGCCCGCUAGGUGUGGCGCAGGCUACGAGCCUGCGCUGUGCCGUAGGGAAGCCGAGAAGCGGGCCGCCUGGGAAGUACGUCUGCAAGGAUG
rnacentral:rRNA from 1 species